UAGCUAAAUAUUAAUAUGUAAGUAUCGUUCUAGAAAAAUAUUUGGGAUAUGAAAGUAGCCGCACACGAGUUACGUAAGAAGUUAUCACACAUGAGAAAUUUUUCGGAAGAUCGUUGGUUGGUUCCGAAUGAACGGACGCGUCAAAAUAUUUAAUAUCGCACUGAAAAAUUGUUCUAGUUAUGACGGAUCGUCAAGUGGAAUUUCUUGCUAUACUGGUGUCGAUAUGGUUAAUACACGAAGCAAUUAGAAUUGUAAAUAACAUGAAAUGAAUCAAGGUGCAUCACAGUGGACGGAAUAUCGCUGGCCCAUGAAAAUGUGCAUUUUGGGCACGUGUGUCUGGCUUUCCAAUAACGGUGCAUGAUAGACUGUAAUAUUGACGCGAAAGGUGUGACUCCGAUUCCGGUUGCAAUUAAUACAGCAUGUUGUGCUUGGAAUAUGUGACUGGCAGGAGCGCCAUAUGGACCAUCGAGGAAAAUCUAAACAAUCAUUACAAUGCCCUUACUCUUUGGCUUUUAUAAAUUGACGCAUAGUCGAACACCAUGGUCAUUUAUUAUUUUCAUUCUAAAGAGAUUGUUCCUUAGAGCAGUCUAAAAAGUGAUUCCUUCUCAAAAGACAAUUUAUAAAAGCACCGAAUUUUAUAAUCGCAUGUUAGCAUUCUUUCGAGUCGUAACAUUUGAACAAAUUGUUUACCUCCAAUGGCUUCCCUAAAUAAUUCAACGAGGCAACAUCAGAUUUGGCGUCUUCUGUACUUCCGUUUAACGUUUCCUCUAAUCUUAACUUUAAUCUACCUUCUUCCGCUGCUUUUUGCGACGCGACCAAUUUCGUGGCCGAGCACUUGUAUUCGUCCACAUUUACUUCAAAGGUCGCUGUUUUAUAAUAUAAAUAUUAUUUAACAGUUAAUUAUAUAUAAUAUUAUUUAGCAGUUAUUUAUUAUUAUUUAAUUGCUAGAAGAAAGUUCUCUUACAGCCGUUGCUCGUCGAAGAUCCUACUUUGUACACGUUAUUCUCUAAACUCGGAGUCUUGAAAGCAAUUAUCGUCGGCUUAGUUCUCAUAUAGCGGAAACUUUGAGCAAUAUUCUUAUUCUGAGGACUCAAAUAAGCUUGCUCCAGAGACUUCAGUCGUGCACCUAGCAGCUGGCUCUCGUUGAAGUUCCUCUCCGAUUCGGAUCUCGUAUAAUCGCGAAGUCUGUCAGGCACAAAUCAUGCAAAGUUCCUUUUAAUUUAUUAUACUAAAAAAAAAUGAUACUUCGACUUUUGCUUUAUCGAUAAUAGUUUUAGUCGAACUAUUUUACCGAAAAUUCUGUAGAAGGAAACAAAUAUGUACUUUUAUCUUCGACACGAAUUAUGAAGUAAAAAUUCUGACCAAGUUUUUCACGAA